rnacentral:rRNA from 1 species
UAAAUGCAAGUUCGAACGCGAAAGUACCUUCGGGUGCGAGUAGAGUGGCGAAAGGUCAAGGAAUACGUUCCUACGUACCCCAAGGCCGGGGAUAGCUUCAGGGAAACCUGGGGUAAUACCCGAUACGGUGCUUCGGCAUCAAAGGCUUGCCACCUUGGGAGCGGGGAACGUCCUAUCAGGUAGUUGGUGAGGUAAAGGCUCACCAAGCCGAAGACGGGUAGCGGGUGUGAGAGCAUGACCCGCCGCAUCGGAACUGAGACACUGUCCGGACUCCUACGGGAGGCUGCAGUAACGAAUAUUCCGCAAUGCGCGAAAGCGUGACGGGGCAAUGCCGCGUGUGGGAUGAAGCCCCUCGGGGUGUAAACCACUGUCAGGGUUUAGGAACACAAUGACCAAACUCAAAGGAAGGGCCGGCUAACUCUGUGCCAGCAGCCGCGGUAAUACAGAGGGCCCGAGCGUUAAUCGGAAUCACUGGGCUUAAAGAGUGUGUAGGCGGACAUAUAGGUACUUUGUGAAAUCCCACGGCUCAACCGUGGAAUAGCUUGGUAAACCAUAUGUCUUGAGGCAGGUAGGGGUGGUCGGAACGAUAGGUGGAGCGG